rnacentral:rRNA from 1 species
GUUAUAUGGUCAAGUGAAGAAGCGCAUACGGUGGAUGCCUUGGCAGUCAGAGGCGAUGAAAGACGUGGUAGCCUGCGAAAAGCUUCGGGGAGUCGGCAAACAGACUGUGAUCCGGAGAUGUCUGAAUGGGGGAACCCAGCCAUCAUAAGAUGGUUAUCUUGUACUGAAUACAUAGGUGCAAGAGGCGAACCAGGGGAACUGAAACAUCUAAGUACCCUGAGGAAAAGAAAUCAACCGAGAUUCCCUUAGUAGUGGCGAGCGAACGGGGACCAGCCCUUAAGUUGUAUUGAGAUUAGCGGAACGUUCUGGAAAGGACGGCCAUAGUGGGUGAUAGCCCUGUACGCGAAAAUCCCUUUGCAAUGAAAUCGAGUAGGACGGGGCACGAGAAACCUUGUCUGAAUAUGGGGGGACCAUCCUCCAAGGCUAAAUACUACUGACUGACCGAUAGUGAACCAGUACCGUGAGGGAAAGGCGAAAAGAACCGCGGAGAGCGGAGUGAAAUAGAUCCUGAAACCGUAUGCGUACAAGCAGUGGGAGCCCACUUUGUUGGGUGACUGCGUACCUUUUGUAUAAUGGGUCAGCGACUUAUUUUCAGUGGCGAGCUUAACCGAAUAGGGGAGGCGUAGCGAAAGCGAGUCUUAAUAGGGCGUCUAGUCGCUGGGAAUAGACCCGAAACCGGGCGAUCUAUCCAUGGGCAGGUUGAAGGUUGGGUAACACUAACUGGAGGACCGAACCGACUACCGUUGAAAAGUUAGCGGAUGACCUGUGGAUCGGAGUGAAAGGCUAAUCAAGCUCGGAGAUAGCUGGUUCUCCUCGAAAGCUAUUUAGGUAGCGCCUCAUGUAUCACUGUAGGGGGUAGAGCACUGUUUCGGCUAGGGGGUCAUCCCGACUUACCAAACCGAUGCAAACUCCGAAUACCUACAAGUGCCGAGCAUGGGAGACACACGGCGGGUGCUAACGUCCGUCGUGAAAAGGGAAACAACCCAGACCGUCAGCUAAGGUCCCAAAGUCAUGGUUAAGUGGGAAACGAUGUGGGAAGGCUUAGACAGCUAGGAGGUUGGCUUAGAAGCAGCCACCCUUUAAAGAAAGCGUAAUAGCUCACUAGUCGAGUCGGCCUGCGCGGAAGAUGUAACGGGGCUCAAACCAUGCACCGAAGCUACGGGUAUCAUCUUAUGAUGAUGCGGUAGAGGAGCGUUCUGUAAGCCUGUGAAGGUGAGUUGAGAAGCUUGCUGGAGGUAUCAGAAGUGCGAAUGCUGACAUGAGUAACGACAAUGGGUGUGAAAAACACCCACGCCGAAAGACCAAGGUUUCCUGCGCAACGUUAAUCGACGCAGGGUUAGUCGGUCCCUAAGGCGAGGCUGAAAAGCGUAGUCGAUGGAAAACAGGUUAAUAUUCCUGUACUUCUGGUUAUUGCGAUGGAGGGACGGAGAAGGCUAGGCCAGCCUGGCGUUGGUUGUCCAGGUUUAAGGUGGUAGGCUGAGAUCUUAGGUAAAUCCGGGAUCUCAAGGCCGAGAGCUGAUGACGAGUGUUCUUUAGAACACGAAGUGGUUGAUGCCAUGCUUCCAAGAAAAGCUUCUAAGCUUCAGGUAACCAGGAACCGUACCCCAAACCGACACAGGUGGUUGGGUAGAGAAUACCAAGGCGCUUGAGAGAACUCGGGUGAAGGAACUAGGCAAAAUGGCACCGUAACUUCGGGAGAAGGUGCGCCGGUGAGGGUGAAGCAUUUACUGCGUAAGCCCACGCCGGUCGAAGAUACCAGGCCGCUGCGACUGUUUAUUAAAAACACAGCACUCUGCAAACACGAAAGUGGACGUAUAGGGUGUGACGCCUGCCCGGUGCCGGAAGGUUAAUUGAUGGGGUUAGCGCAAGCGAAGCUCUUGAUCGAAGCCCCGGUAAACGGCGGCCGUAACUAUAACGGUCCUAAGGUAGCGAAAUUCCUUGUCGGGUAAGUUCCGACCUGCACGAAUGGCGUAACGAUGGCGGCGCUGUCUCCACCCGAGACUCAGUGAAAUUGAAAUCGCUGUGAAGAUGCAGUGUAUCCGCGGCUAGACGGAAAGACCCCGUGAACCUUUACUAUAGCUUUGCACUGGACUUUGAAUUUGCUUGUGUAGGAUAGGUGGGAGGCUUUGAAGCGUGGACGCCAGUCUGCGUGGAGCCAACCUUGAAAUACCACCCUGGCAACUUUGAGGUUCUAACUCAGGUCCGUUAUCCGGAUCGAGGACAGUGUAUGGUGGGUAGUUUGACUGGGGCGGUCUCCUCCUAAAGAGUAACGGAGGAGUACGAAGGUGCGCUCAGACCGGUCGGAAAUCGGUCGUAGAGUAUAAAGGCAAAAGCGCGCUUGACUGCGAGACAGACACGUCGAGCAGGUACGAAAGUAGGUCUUAGUGAUCCGGUGGUUCUGUAUGGAAGGGCCAUCGCUCAACGGAUAAAAGGUACUCCGGGGAUAACAGGCUGAUACCGCCCAAGAGUUCAUAUCGACGGCGGUGUUUGGCACCUCGAUGUCGGCUCAUCACAUCCUGGGGCUGAAGCCGGUCCCAAGGGUAUGGCUGUUCGCCAUUUAAAGUGGUACGCGAGCUGGGUUUAGAACGUCGUGAGACAGUUCGGUCCCUAUCUGCCGUGGACGUUUGAGAUUUGAGAGGGGCUGCUCCUAGUACGAGAGGACCGGAGUGGACGAACCUCUGGUGUUCCGGUUGUCACGCCAGUGGCAUUGCCGGGUAGCUAUGUUCGGAAAAGAUAACCGCUGAAAGCAUCUAAGCGGGAAACUUGCCUCAAGAUGAGAUCUCACUGGAACAUUGAGUUCCCUGAAGGGCCGUCGAAGACUACGACGUUGAUAGGUUGGGUGUGUAAGCGCUGUGAGGCGUUGAGCUAACCAAUACUAAUUGCCCGUGAGGCUUGACCAUAUAACACCCAAGCAAUU